rnacentral:rRNA from 1 species
GAAUCGCUAGUAAUCGCGGAUCAGCACGCCGCGGUGAAUACGUUCCCGGGCCUUGUACACACCGCCCGUCACACCACGAGAGUUUGUAACACCCGAAGUCGGUGAGGUAACCUUUUGGAGCCAGCCGCCUAAGGUGGGACAGAUGAUUGGGGUGAAGUCGUAACAAGGUAGCCGUAUCGGAAGGUGCGGCUGGAUCACCUCCUUU